CACUCUCCCCUCUCCAGCUGCAACCCGGGGGCCCUAGGCCUGGCUGGGAGAUGACGAAGAGGCCCUCGGUUUCCAGAAUCUCAGCACAUGGCUCUCGUGGCAAAGCACAGCGGGCACAGGUAAGUCCGAGGCCGGGGAGAGCCCAGUCUGAGGGGUAAAGGGUUCCUGGUGAUGAGCUGUCAGCUACAAAGCGCUUUGUCCAAGCCGGCCCGGGUUCGUAGAGGAGCCAUUCCAAACGGGCCGUAGUGCAGCUGAGGCGAGUCUGGCCUACCCCCGGCGCUGAUACCGUAGGAUUUCCUCCGCCCGGACCUUGGGGCUGCCCAUAAGAAUUCGGGACAGCCUCCUGCAUUUCUGCAAUGCCGGGUGUGACGCUGCUGUUACUCCUCGGCCAGUCAGGCCUCGUGUGCGUAGCUCUGAGCUCGAGGGCGGGAAUAAUCUCCAAAGAGCAGCAACCCGCUGAGCCGGUUCGGUCCAGCUCAGGGAUGGCGGUUCACAUAUUGGAAUCGCGUUGAGUCAGAGUCCUGCCUGGCGUCUCUUCUGUGCACAGCCUAUAACCCAGGCCUCUGCCCACCACAGCGAGGUCUGUGCCAGCCACCGAAAACCAGGAAAUAAGCACAGCAGCUAAUCAAGUGAUUCACAGCGAAAAGUUUAAAGAGCAGAGUGGGAGUCUCCAACUGCUUUAAGAUGCCUGGCUGGGCAGCUGUGCCCCAGACACCAGAAGAAAAGCCGCUUUUCCUGGAUAUCGCAGGUGCUCGCUCCGGAAGUCGCUGAACCUGCGUGCCCAGGUCCGUUCGGCCACGGCAUGGACCCGGCCGAAGAGCUUCGGAAGCAGCAGGGGGAUUUCCUAGAUGAGACGGGGCAGGAGCCAGGCCCCGAUGACGACGUGGAAGCCCCAGCACAGCCUGAGGCCGGCCGGGAGGG